UCUGGGAAGCAAUUCACCUCUUUGUGGUUGGAUAGAGUAAUGACGGGUGGAACAGUAACAAGUGUGGUAGGGGUGUUAUGGUUUUGGUUUUUAUAUAAGUUUAGCAAUAGGGCUUGCAAUAGAAAGGUAGUGGAAUGGAAUGCCAAGUUAUAAUAGGUUAGUGGGAGUUGCGGUCUAGAAAAGUGCACAACCGUGGAACAUUUUAGCUAUUUGUCUUUAUGCACAUUGCAUUAACAACUAGU
rnacentral:lncRNA from 1 species